rnacentral:rRNA from 1 species
CCUACGGGUGGCUGCAGUGAGGAAUAUUGGUCAAUGGACGAGAGUCUGAACCAGCCAAGUAGCGUGAAGGAUGACUGCCCUAUGGGUUGUAAACUUCUUUUAUAUGGGAAUAAAAUGUUCCACGUGUGGGAUUUUGUAUGUACCAUCUGAAUAAGGAUCGGCUAACUCCGUGCCAGCAGCCGCGGUAAUACGGAGGAUCCGAGCGUUAUCCGGAUUUAUUGGGUUUAAAGGGAGCGUAGGUGGAGUGUUAAGUCAGUUGUGAAAGUUUGCGGCUCAACCGUAAAAUUGCAGUUGAAACUGGCAGUCUUGAGUACAGUAGAGGUGGGCGGAAUUCGUGGUGUAGCGGUGAAAUGCUUAGAUAGCACGAAGAACUCCGAUUGCGAAGGCAGUUCACUGGACUGCAACUGACACUGAGGCUCGAAAGUGUGGGUAUCAAACAGGAUUAGAUACCCGAGUAGUC